rnacentral:rRNA from 1 species
UGGCGAACGGGUGAGUAACGCGUGGGUAACCUGCCUCAUACAGGGGGAUAACAGUUAGAAAUGACUGCUAAUACCGCAUAAGACCACAGCACCGCAUGGUGCGGGGGUAAAGACUCCGGUGGUAUGAGAUGGACCCGCGUCUGAUUAGCUAGUUGGUAAGGUAACGGCUUACCAAGGCGACGAUCAGUAGCCGACCUGAGAGGGUGACCGGCCACAUUGGGACUGAGACACGGCCCAA